rnacentral:rRNA from 1 species
GAUGAACGCUGGCGGCGUGCCUAAUACAUGCAAGUCGAGCGAACAGACGAGGAGCUUGCUCCUCUGACGUUAGCGGCGGACGGGUGAGUAACACGUGGAUAACCUACCUAUAAGACUGGGAUAACUUCGGGAAACCGGAGCUAAUACCGGAUAAUAUAUUGAACCGCAUGGUUCAAUAGUGAAAGACGGUUUUGCUGUCACUUAUAGAUGGAUCCGCGCCGCAUUAGCUAGUUGGUAAGGUAACGGCUUACCAAGGCAACGAUGCGUAGCCGACCUGAGAGUGUGAUCGGCCACACUGGAACUGAGCCACGGUCCAGACUCCUACGGGAGGCAGCAGUAGGGAAUCUUCCGCAAUGGGCGAAAGCCUGACGGAGCAACGCCGCGUGAGUGAUGAAGGUCUUCGGAUCGUAAAACUCUGUUAUUAGGGAAGAACAAAUGUGUAAGUAACUAUGCACGUCUUGACGGUACCUAAUCAGAAAGCCACGGCUAACUACGUG